UGGGGAAUCUUGGACAAUGGGGGCAACCCUGAUCCAGCGACGCCGCGUGGGUGGUAAGGCCUUCGGGUUGUAAAGCCCUUUCACCGGGGAAGAUGAUGACAUUACCCGGAGAAGAAGCGCCGGCUAACUCCGUGCCAGCAGCCGCGGUAAGACGGAGGGCGCUAGCGUUGUUCGGAAUCACUGGGCGUAAAGGGCGCGUAGGCGGCUGUUUAAGUCGAGGGUGAAAGCCCGGGGCUCAACCCCGGAACGGCCUUCGAGACUGGGCAGCUCGAGACCGGAAGAGGAGGGUGGAAUACCCAGUGUAGAGGUGGAAUGCGUAGAGAUUGGGUGGAACACCAGGGGCGAGAGCGGCGCUCUGGUCCGGAUCUGACGCUGAGGCGCGAAAGCGUGGGGAGCAAACAGGAGUAGAUACCCGGGUAGUCC
rnacentral:rRNA from 1 species